UAGGGUUGUCUGCCUCGGGACGGUUGGGCCUUGGGCCACAAGGUUGGCCGAAGCCUGACUGUGUUGCUCCUCUCUCUCUCUCAUACUCCUCUCUACAAUUCCAUCAUUACAGAAAAAAUAGCAAAGAAUAGGACAAGAAAGGAAGGGUUAGGUAUAGAAUUAGACAUGAUGAUAUUUUUCUUGGACUCACAAAAAAGAGCUUGACCCAAGAAAAUGGAAGUUGCAUGAAGACAAGAUUUAAAUUCUUACUCAUUUGAAUUAAUUCAAAUGGUUUGAAGUAUGACAAGGUUCUAUAGGAGUCCAAAAAUGUAGAGAAUUUAGGUGGAGCUU
rnacentral:lncRNA from 1 species